AGAGACCAGCUGCACCAAACUUCUUCUCCCUGACUUCUCAGCCAGGAUGGACUUCAGUGGCAAGGUCUGCAUUGGAAACACUGUGAGUAGAUGCAUGUGUCCACUUCAGGAGAGAGAGAAAUAUCACCUGAAUGGCUGGAACCUCUGGAAAAGAAAGAACCUGGCAGCUCUCAUAUUUCUGCAAAACAGAAAAAUGACUUUGAAAGAAAAAAAUGGCAUUUAUAAGAGGCCUGAACACACUCUUAAGAAUUCAAAGAAAAGAAACAUUGUUGCUUCCCACCUGAGUAUUUAAACAAGAUUUGAACCUGAAAAACCAAGAGUGGAAUUGAGAGAGGUCCUUCCAUGGAUCACUGGUUCCAGGAAAGAACAGUUCUCAUGUACAAGAAAGCUUUUCAAAUAAUAUGGAGCUUCUAGGGGUCAACUGAACUGUCUAUGUCUGGGUCUUACAUUUGUAGGGCUUUUAUGAUGUUUGUGUGUGUGUGUGUGUGUGUGUGUGUGUGUGAAAAGGGAAAUAGACAGGGAGAGUCUCCCUAAGUUAACAGUGUCUCUCUGCAUGAAUGAUCCAAGGGUUCGUCAAGGCUGUAUUAUGUAUUUUGUAACUGUAAUGAGGAACAUGUUUUGUAAUGAGGAAAUAUAGUAUAUUAUAUAAUAAAGCAUAUCAUUUGGCCU
rnacentral:lncRNA from 1 species